CCUUUUACUCUUUUCACUUAAUUUAAGAGGUUGCGUG
rnacentral:antisense_RNA from 1 species